AUGAAAUUUAAUUUUUUCUGUAGUUUGGAUGAAGACAUUUGGCAAUUAAGGAUCCAUUUUGAUGCAAGAGAACCAUUGGAGAUGAAGCUGUGUGGUUCAGAUAUUACUUAUCUAAAUUUGGUUGCAGUGAUGGAAACCCAAGGAUUUAAUGCAUAUGAUUGUUUGUUUCACAUUGAAAAUCCAUCUUUAGGAGAGAAAGGGCUGGAUUUGGUAGACAGUCAUGCAGAAUUACAGAUGAUAAAGAGGAAGAUCCAGGACAAAUUGGUGCUUAAUUUGCUAGUCAGGGCUUGUCCACCCCCUGAUACUGAUUUUGAGAUGCAGCAUUUUGAAAAGCCAGACUUGUCCACUAUGGUGUACCAAGAGCCUGUUGUUUAUGAUCUGAGUGAGCCUCCUAUCUUAGCUGUUGAUCAGGAAGGAGUAGUCUUUGAGAGUCAAUGUAGCACACAUCACCCUGUUGCUCCUGCUGGUGUUUGCACACAAGAAAGCAGAAAUGCAACUAACAAGUUGAAAGCAGUUUUGGAAGAAGAAGAGGGAUACCAAGGAUUUGAGGCUUAUGAGGACAGUGAUUCCUCUGAUGAGGAUGGUCAAAUUGGAAGUGACCCUAAUUACAUGGUUGAUGAAGAAGAUGUAGAGGUGGAAGAGGGAAAGAGGCAGAGAGAGCUAGAAGUACAAGAGGAAGAAUCAGAUGAUGAUCAAUCAGAAGAGGAAGAAAUGCUGCAUUAUGAGGGUGACACUGAAGUUGAGGACCCAUUUGAGGUAGAGGAAGAUAGGACUUUUGAACAAGAAGAAGAAACUAUAGUUGAACCUGUAAAGAAGAAGCAGAAGCUGCCAGUUAGAAGAGGCCCAACCACUAGGUCACAUUGUAGUGAGCUACCAGAGGUUGAACCUGAUUUCAGACCAUCAUCAGAUGAAGAAGAGGAGGGGUUGUUGAGGGAGAGUGAUGAUGAUGGUUUUCAGCCACUCUCUUUUGUCCUACAAAAGAAAAGGAAGAGUAGGGCAAAGAAAAGGCCUCCUAGGAAGUGGUACAAUGAGAAAAUGGAGCAACCACAUGAGCAACUAUGUAUGAAGUUGUGUUUUAGGGAUCAGCAUCAAUUCAGAGAAGCUUUGUUGAAUUUGCACGUCACCCAGGCCAGGAAUUUCAGGUAUCACAGGAAUUCAGAUCAGAGGAUAAUUGUUGAGUGUACAGAUAAAAAAUGCCAGUUCUCAAUGGUGGCAGCAGUUAUAAAAGGGGAGAAAACAUUUGUAAUUAAGAAGAUGAGACUAGAGCACACUUGCCCUAGUACCACUGAGACCACCAGGGUUAGUGCUAAGUGGCUAGCACAGAAAUAUGAUCAUCUCUUUAGAUCUGAUAUAACUACUGGUAUUCAGACUAUAAUUGAUGCAUGCAAUGAAAAAUAUGGUGUAGAUGUGCCCAAGUGCAUGGCAUAUAGGGCAAAGAACAUAGCUAUUGAUGCUGUGUUAGGAGAUCACAGGAAGCAAUAUCCUAGGCUUAAAGACUAUGCUCAGACUGUCAUGGACACAAACCCUGGGAGUAGAGUAAUAGUCACUACUGUUACUCCAGUACCUAAUGCAAAAAUACCCCACCCAGGCCCAAGAUUCCAUGCCAUGUUUUUUUGCCUUAAUGGAGCAAGGGAGGGGUUUCUCAAUGGGUGUAGGCCUUUCAUUGGUUAG
rnacentral:rRNA from 1 species